AAUAUUUACUAUGUAGAAAUCUCUGGAAUAAAAUGUUUUUGAAUUUUAAUUAAAAUCUGUUCGAUUCAAAGUUAGCAUUGUUGAUUAUCUUAAAACAGAAAAUAAGGUAAAAUACAUGAAUAUGACUUCAAUUGCUCCAUCAGAUUCAGAGUCAAAUGUAAGCGGUUUCAUGCGGUACAGUGAUAAAGAUGUAAAAAAUUUGUACACUUCAAUUAUACAGAACAUGGAAACAAUCAGCCAAGAUAUUUUACAAGUUGAAAAUAAUAUUAAAAACCUAAUGAAACAAGCAGGUCCUUUGGAGGGUCAACUUUCCAUUCUUCUGCAAUCACUGCCAAAACCAAACUUGGAACUACCUAUGGAUACGGAUUAGCUGUUAUUUUAGAACGAUUACGUAGUUGAUAUUAUGAUGAUGUAUGUAUGUAUUUUUAAGAAAUAAAAAUAUUGUCGAGAGUGUAGCAAAGGUGCAAAGCAAAGGUCAGGACUUUUUAAGUAACUGAAAUAAAACUUCUUACAAAUG